UACGUAGGGUGCAAGCGUUGUUCGGAAUUAUUGGGCGUAAAGCGUUUGCAGGCGGUUUUGCAAGUCUGAUGUGAAAUCCCCGGGCUUAACCUGGGAACUGCAUUUGUGACUGCAUGGCUGGAGUGCGGCAGAGGGGGAUGGAAUUCCGCGUGUAGCAGUGAAAUGCGUAGAUAUCGUGAGGAACACCAGAGGCGAAGGCGGUUACCUGGACAGUUACUGACGCUCAGGCACGAAAGCAUGGGGAGCAAAAGGG
rnacentral:rRNA from 1 species